GGCAAGAUGGCCGAGCGGUCUAAGGCGCCACGUUAAGGUUCACCCUUAAUCCCAAUCUUCGCUGAAGAUUCCGUGGUCCGAGAGGGCGUGGGUUCGAAUCCCACUCUUGUCA
rfam:Thielavia terrestris NRRL 8126 chromosome 3, complete sequence.